UACAGAGGGGGCAAGCGUUGUUCGGAAUUACUGGGCGUAAAGGGCGCGUAGGCGGCCCGCUAAGUCGAACGUGAAAUCCCCGAGCUCAACUCGGGAACUGCGUCCGAUACUGGCGGGCUUGAAUCCGGGAGAGGGAUGCGGAAUUCCAGGUGUAGCGGUGAAAUGCGUAGAUAUCUGGAGGAACACCAGUGGCGAAAGCGCUUGACUGGGCCGUAACUGACGCUGAGGAACGAAAGCCAGGGGAGCGAAAGGG
rnacentral:rRNA from 1 species